CUGAAUUCAGCGGCGGACGGGUGAGUAAUGCCUAGGAAUCUGCCUGGUAGUGGGGGACAACGUUUCGAAAGGAACGCUAAUACCGCAUACGUCCUACGGGAGAAAGCAGGGGACCUUCGGGCCUUGCGCUAUCGGAUGAGCCUAAGUCAGAUUAGCUAGUUGGUGGGGUAAAGGCCUACCAAGGCGACGAUCUGUAACGGGUCUGAGAGGAUGAUCCGUCACACUGGGACUGAGACACGGCCCAGACUCCUACGGGAGGCAGCAGUGGGGAAUAUUGGACAAUGGGGGGAACCCUGAUCCAGCCAUGCCGCGUGUGUGAAGAAGGCCUUUUGGUUGUAAAGCACUUUAAGCGAGGAGGAGGCUCCUAUAGAUAAUACCUAUAGAGAGUGGACGUUACUCGCAGAAUAAGCACCGGCUAACUCUGUGCCAGCAGCCGCGGUAAUACAGAGGGUGCAAGCGUUAAUCGGAUUUACUGGGCGUAAAGCGUACGUAGGUGGUCUUUUAAGUCGGAUGUGAAAUCCCUGAGCUUAACUUAGGA
rnacentral:rRNA from 1 species